rnacentral:rRNA from 1 species
GACGAACGCUGGCGGCGUGCUUAACACAUGCCAGUCGAACGGAAAGGCCCUGCUUUUGUGGGGUGCUCGAGUGGCGAACGGGUGAGUAACACGUGAGUAACCUGCCCUUGACUUUGGGAUAACUUCAGGAAACUGGGGCUAAUACCGGAUAGGAGCUCCUGCUGCAUGGUGGGGGUUGGAAAGUUUCGGCGGUUGGGGAUGGACUCGCGGCUUAUCAGCUUGUUGGUGGGGUAGUGGCUUACCAAGGCUUUGACGGGUAGCCGGCCUGAGAGGGUGACCGGCCACAAUGGGACUGAGAUACGGCCCAGACUCCUACGGGAGGCAGCAGUGGGGAAUAUUGCACAAUGGGCGGAAGCCUGAUGCAGCCACGCCGCGUGCGGGAUGACGGCCUUCGGGUUGUAAACCGCUUUCGCCUGUGACGAAGCGUGAGUGACGGUAAUGGGUAAAGAAGCACCGGCUAACUACGUG